rnacentral:rRNA from 1 species
CAACAGCUAGUAGGUUUGAUCCUGGCUACAGGACGACGCUGGCGGCGUGCUUAACACAUGCAAGUCGAACGAGAAUCACCGGAAGGCGUCUUCGGACAACGGAAGGUGAGGACAGUGGCGGACGGGUGAGUAACGCGUGAGCAACCUGCCUUUCAGAGGGGGACAACAGUUGGAAAACGACUGCUAAUACCGCAUAACAUAUGAUGGAGGCAUCUCCGACAUAUCAAAGAAUUAUCGCUGAAAGAUGGGCUCGCGUCUGAUUAGCUAGUUGGUGGGGUAACGGCUCACCAAGGCGACGAUCAGUAGCCGGACUGAGAGGUUGAACGGCCACAUUGGGACUGAGAUACGGCCCAGACUCCUACGGGAGGCAGCAGUGGGGAAUAUUGGGCAAUGGGGGCAACCCUGACCCAGCAACGCCGCGUGAAGGAAGAAGGCUUUCGGGUUGUAAACUUCUUUUAUCAGGGACGAAAAGAAUGACGGUACCUGAGGAAAAAGCCACGGCUAACUACGUGCC